GGCGGCAGCCGCGGGAAGGGGGCCGCGGGCCGGGGCAGCCGCCGGAGCCCCCCGGAGCGGACGCGCGCUCAGCCCCGCGAUCGCUCUGGCCGAGCUGCGCCGGGCGCGGGCGGGCGAGUGAGGAGGAGCCGGCGAGCGAGCGAGCGAACGAGCGAGGAGCGGGCGGGAGGAGGGAGGGGGCUGGGGCCGACUCGGUGCCGAGCGAGCGCGGGCAGGAAGGGAGGGGGCGGGCGGGCCCCGGGUGCCAGCCUCCUCCCCUGGCCGCCGGCCCGUCGGCCCUGCAAAGUUUGACGCCGGUUCCCCUGGCGUCCUGGGGGCCGAGCGUUUCCUCUCGUUGGAUGCUCCGGCAGCCCUCCGCGGGCACGGCCAAGCUGAAGAGCGUCCGGACCAUUUCCCAGACGGUACGUUCCUGAGCCCUAGAGCGCAUCACAAUCUAUGCUGAAGUCACUUGGCCAGGAUUCAAUGCCAAGUCUGAGUCCAGAGAUCAGAACCCACUGCAUCUCAACAGGCUGUUUGCCAGAUGAGUAAACAGUGGCAAGGAGAUCAAACCAGUCCAUCCUAAAGAAAAUCAACCCUGAAUAUUCACUGUAAGGACUGAUGCUGAAGCUGAAGCUCCAACACUUUGGCCACCUGAUGCAAAGAGCCGAUUCAUUGGAAAAGACCCUGAGGCUGGGAAAGAUUGAAGGCAGGAGGAGAAGGAGACAACAGAGGAUGAGAUGGUUGGCUGGCAUCACUGACUCAUGGACAUGAAUUUGAGCAAACUCCAGAAAGUAGUGGAGGACAGGGAAGCCUGGCGUGCUGCAGUCUAUGGCGUCGCAAAGAGUCUGACACAACUGAGCGGCCGAACAACACCAAACAGAGGCUCAGCUGGGGGAUGACAUUUGCCAGCAGUCACCAGUCAGUGACAGAAUGGGGACUCGAACCCAGGGCUGUCUGACCUCUGCCUGGAGUUUCUAACCACUCGACCACACUGCCUAGGAAUGAGGUAUACCUCCCGGCAGUAAGAGUCUAAACCAGCAGGAGUUCCCAGACGGAGACAUGAUCUAGGUGCCACUGUCUGAAUGUCUGUGAGCAUUUCUAGUUGUUUCAAGAAAAGGCGACGUCAGCGGCACCAUUAAAGCCUGCUGUUCCCCGUGCCAUCCCUGCCAUCCCCACGUAUUAGAAUAAUGGCGUGAGAAAUAAACAGCCUUUAUGGACAAUUUUAUACAAA
ensembl:lncRNA